CCCCGCGCCCGUCCCGCCGCCCCCGCCCGGGCACAAGCGGUGGAGCAUGUGGUUUAAUUCGAUGCAACGCGAAGAACCUUACCUACUCUUGACAUCCAGAGAACUUAGCAGAGAUGCUUUGGUGCCUUCGGGAACUCUGAGACAGGUGCUGCAUGGCUGUCGUCAGCUCGUGUUGUGAAAUGUUGGGUUAAGUCCCGCAACGAGCGCAACCCUUUUCCUUUGUUCCCAGCGAUUCGGUCGGGAACUCAAAGGAGACUGCCAGUGAUAAACUGGAGGAAGGUGGGGAUGACGUCAAGUCAUCAUGGCCCUUACGAGUAGGGCU
rnacentral:rRNA from 1 species